rnacentral:lncRNA from 1 species
GCCACCGCCGCCGCCGCCGGAACGUCCCAGUCGCGGCGCGAGGAAGACGCGGCCCCAGCCUCUGCCGCCUCCGCUGUCAGAGUCCCGAGGCCACCGCCGAGAGCGCGCCGGCGCCGCAGCCACAGCGGCCGAGAACCAGGAGGCGGCGCCGGGCGGCCCAGCUAGGGCGCUGCAGGGUCGCGAGGAAGUUUGUUGGCCCGGAACCAAGCACGCCGUCGGGCACGCUAGCUCCCCGAGAGCAGGCGGGCGCAUCCGUGGCCGUUCACAUGGUUUCAAGGCACAAUGAGACUCACUGGCCCUUGGAAACUUUGGCUUUGGAUGUCAAUAUUUCUGCUUCCUGCUUCCACUUCCGUGACCGUUAGGGACAAGACAGAAGAGUCAUGCCCUAUCCUGAGAAUAGAGGGACAUCAGCUGACAUAUGACAACAUAAACAAACUUGAAGUUUCAGGUUUUGAUCUAGGAGACAGCUUUUCUCUAAGACGUGCAUUUUGUGAAAGUGAUAAAACCUGUUUCAAAUUGGGAAGUGCACUUCUUAUUAGAGACACUAUUAAGAUAUUUCCCAAAGGCCUUCCUGAGGAGUACUCAGUAGCUGCCAUGUUUCGAGUACGAAGAAACGCCAAAAAGGAACGGUGGUUUCUGUGGCAGGUUUUAAACCAGCAGAAUAUUCCACAGAUUUCUAUAGUAGUUGAUGGUGGAAAGAAGGUGGUGGAAUUUAUGUUUCAAGCCACAGAGGGAGAUGUGUUGAACUACAUUUUUAGAAAUCGAGAACUCCGUCCUUUGUUUGAUCGUCAGUGGCACAAACUUGGCAUUAGUAUACAAUCCCAGGUCAUUUCACUUUAUAUGGAUUGUAAUUUAAUUGCGAGGAGGCAGACUGAUGAAAAGGACACUGUGGAUUUCCAUGGACGGACAGUUAUUGCUACGCGAGCUUCAGAUGGCAAGCCUGUGGAUAUUGAACUUCACCAACUUAAAAUCUACUGCAGUGCAAACCUCAUAGCUCAAGAAACAUGUUGUGAAAUAUCAGAUACUAAGUGCCCAGAGCAGGAUGGCUUUGGAAAUAUUGCAUCAUCAUGGGUAACUGCUCAUGCCAGUAAAAUGUCUUCAUAUCUGCCAGCAAAGCAGGAACUUAAAGACCAGUGCCAGUGCAUUCCAAACAAGGGAGAAGCAGGAUUACCAGGAGCUCCGGGUUCACCUGGGCAGAAAGGGCAUAAAGGAGAGCCGGGUGAAAAUGGUUUACAUGGUGCUCCAGGAUUCCCUGGUCAAAAGGGAGAGCAAGGUUUUGAAGGCAGCAAAGGAGAAACUGGUGAAAAGG